GAUGAACGCUGGCGGCAGGCCUAACACAUGCAAGUCGAGCGAGCGGCGGACGGGUGAGUAAUGUCUGGGAAACAGCCUGAAGGAGGGGGAUAACUACUGGAAACGGUAGAUAAUACCGCAUACCAUCAGAUGUGCCCCGAUGGGAUUAGCUAGAAGGUGGGGUAACGGAUAACCUAGGCACCGAUCCCUAGCUGGUCUGCGAGGAUGCACAGCCACACUGGAACUGAGACACGGUCCAGACUCGUACGGGAGGCAGCAGUGGGGAAUAUUGCACAAUGGGCGCAAGCCUGAUGCAGCCAUGCCGCGUGUAUGAAGAAGGCCUUCGGGUUGUAAAGUACUUUCAGCGGGGAGGCGGUACCCGCAGAAGAAGCACCGGCUAACUCCGUGCCAGCAGCCGCGGUAAUAC
rnacentral:rRNA from 1 species